rnacentral:rRNA from 1 species
UACGAAGGGGGCUAGCGUUGCUCGGAAUUACUGGGCGUAAAGCGCACGUAGGCGGCUUCUUAAGUCAGGGGUGAAAUCCUGGAGCUCAACUCCAGAACUGCCUUUGAUACUGAGAGGCUUGAGUCCGGGAGAGGUUAGUGGAACUGCGAGUGUAGAGGUGAAAUUCGUAGAUAUUCGCAAGAACACCAGUGGCGAAGGCGGCGCACUGGCCCGGUACUGACGCUGAGGUGCGAAAGCGUGGGGAGCAAACAGG